rfam:Angiostrongylus cantonensis strain Taiwan genome assembly, scaffold: ACAC_contig0011448
GCCUCAUUGGAUCAGAAGAAGAGCGUCUGUCUUGCAAGCAGAAGGUCGCUGGUUCGAUUCCAGCAUGAGGCA